GUGCCAGCCGCCGCGGUAAUACGUAGGGUGCGAGCGUUGUCCGGAAUUACUGGGCGUAAAGAGCUCGUAGGUGGUUUGUCGCGUUGUUCGUGAAAUCUCACGGCUUAACUGUGAGCGUGCGGGCGAUACGGGCAGACUAGAGUACUGCAGGGGAGACUGGAAUUCCUGGUGUAGCGGUGGAAUGCGCAGAUAUCAGGAGGAACACCGGUGGCGAAGGCGGGUCUCUGGGCAGUAACUGACGCUGAGGAGCGAAAGCGUGGGGAGCGAACAGGAUUAGAUACCCUGGUAGUCCACGCCGUAAACGGUGGGUACUAGGUGUGGGUUUCCUUCCUUGGGAUCCGUGCCGUAGCUAACGCAUUAAGUACCCCGCCUGGGGAGUACGGCCGCAAGGCUAAAACUCAAAGGAAUUGACGG
rnacentral:rRNA from 1 species